GUGGGGUAUGGGGACAUGUGUCCCAUCACUCUGGGAGGCAAAAUGGUCGGCACGUUGUGUGCCAUCGCCGGAGUACUGACCAUCGCCCUGCCCGUACCCGUCAUCGUCUCAAAC
rfam:Astyanax mexicanus Tnplaced_Scaffold3523, whole genome shotgun sequence.